rnacentral:tRNA from 1 species
GGGCCCGUCGUCUAGCCUGGUUAGGACGCCGCCCUGACGCGGCGGAAAUCCUGGGUUCAAGUCCCAGCGGGCCCA